rnacentral:rRNA from 1 species
AACGAACGCUGGCGGCAGGCCUAACACAUGCAAGUCGAACGGAUGUAGCAAUACAUUAGUGGCGCACGGGAGAGUAACACGUGGGAAUCUACCUUUUGGUUCGGAAUAACGUCGGGAAACUGACGCUAAUACCGGAUAAGCCCUACGGGGGAAAGUUUUUCGCCAAAAGAUGAGCCCGCGCUAGAUUAGCUUGUUGGUGAGGUAAUGGCUCACCAAGGCUACGAUCUAUAGCUGGUCUGAGAGGAUGACCAGCCUCACUGGGACUGAGACACGGCCCAGACUCCUACGGGGGGCAGCAGUGGGGAAUAUUGGACAAUGGGGGAAACCCUGAUCCAGCCAUGCCGCGUGAAUGAUGAAGGCCUUCGGGUUGUAAAGUUCUUUUGGUAGGGACGAUGAUGACGGUACCUACAGAAUAAGCUCCGGCUAACUUCGUGCCAGCAGCCGCAGUAA